rfam:Clostridium amylolyticum strain DSM 21864 genome assembly, contig: Ga0131114_113
CCGUGCUAGAUGGGGAGUUAGCGGUGCCCUGUACCUGCAAUCCGCUACAGCAGGAUUGAAUUCCUUACUUCGGCUUUAACCUGUAGGGUCUGCCCCAUAUAAGUGGUGUUGAGAGUUGGGUCCCACGCAACGGAAGCCCGUGAACCCCGUCAGGUCCGGAAGGAAGCAGCGGUAAGUGGAAUCUUUCGUGUGCCGUGGAUCAACCUAGCUUGAGCUAACUGUAUGGGUAACGCUUAUAGGUUACUGUCAACGUAAGGUGCACGG